rnacentral:rRNA from 1 species
GAUCCUGGUUCAGGAUGAACGCUAGCUACAGGCUUAACACAUGCAAGUCGAGGGGCAGCAUGGACCCAGUUUUGCUGGGUUUGAUGGCGACCGGCGCACGGGUGAGUAACGCGUAUCCAACCUGCCCUUUACUCCGGGAUAGUCUCCUGAAAGGGAGUUUAAUACCGGAUGUGUUUGUCUUUCCGCGUGGGAGCGACAAAUAAAGAUUGAUUGGUAAAGGAUGGGGAUGCGUCCCAUUAGCUUGUUGGCGGGGUAACGG